rnacentral:rRNA from 1 species
UACGUAGGGCGCAAGCGUUAUCCGGAAUUAUUGGGCGUAAAGAGCUCGUAGGCGGUUUGCCGCGUCUGCUGUGAAAGACCGGGGCUCAACUCCGGUUCUGCAGUGGGUACGGGCAGACUAGAGUGAUGUAGGGGAGACUGGAAUUCCUGGUGUAGCGGUGAAAUGCGCAGAUAUCAGGAGGAACACCGAUGGCGAAGGCAGGUCUCUGGGCAUUAACUGACGCUGAGGAGCGAAAGCAUGGGGAGCGAACAGG